rnacentral:rRNA from 1 species
CGUAGGUAACCUGCCUCUUAGCGGGGGAUAACUAUUGGAAACGAUAGCUAAUACCGCAUAAAAGUCGAUAUCGCAUGAUGUUGAUUUGAAAGGUGCAAUUGCAUCACUAAGAGAUGGACCUGCGUUGUAUUAGCUAGUUGGUGAGGUAACGGCUCACCAAGGCGACGAUACAUAGCCGACCUGAGAGGGUGAUCGGCCACACUGGGACUGAGACACGGCCCAG